GACGAACGCUGGCGGCGUGCUUAACACAUGCAAGUCGAACGGAAAGGCCCUGCUUUUGUGGGGUGCUCGAGUGGCGAACGGGUGAGUAACACGUGAGUAACCUGCCCUUGACUUUGGGAUAACUUCAGGAAACUGGGGCUAAUACCGGAUAGGAGCUCCUGCUGCAUGGUGGGGGUUGGAAAGUUUCGGCGGUUGGGGAUGGACUCGCGGCUUAUCAGCUUGUUGGUGGGGUAGUGGCUUACCAAGGCUUUGACGGGUAGCCGGCCUGAGAGGGUGACCGGCCACAUUGGGACUAAGAUACGGCCCAGACUCCUACGGGAGGCAGCAGUGGGGAAUAUUGCACAAUGGGCGGAAGCCUGAUGCAGCAACGCCGCGUGCGGGAUGACGGCCUUCGGGUUGUAAACCGCUUUCGCCUGUGACGAAGCGUGAGUGACGGUAAUGGGUAAAGAAGCACCGGCUAACUACCUG
rnacentral:rRNA from 1 species